UACGUAGGGGGCAAGCGUUGUCCGGAUUUAUUGGGCGUAAAGAGCGUGUAGGCGGCUUUGCAAGUCGGGUGUGAAAGCCCUCAGCUCAACUGAGGAAGUGCGCCCGAAACUGCAGAGCUUGAGUGCCGGAGAGGGUGGCGGAAUUCCCCAAGUAGAGGUGAAAUUCGUAGAUAUGGGGAGGAACACCGGUGGCGAAGGCGGCCACCUGGACGGUAACUGACGCUGAGACGCGAAAGCGUGGGGAGCAAACAGG
rnacentral:rRNA from 1 species